rnacentral:rRNA from 1 species
GAUGAACGCUGGCGGCGUGCCUAAUACAUGCAAGUCGAGCGAACAGACCUGGAUCUUGCUCCUCUGACGUUAUCGGCGGACGGGGGAGGAACACGUAACUCACCUACCUAUUGGACCGAGAUAACUUCUAGAAAUCGGAGCUUAUACCGGAUAAUAUAUUGGACCGCAUGGUGCAAUAGUUAAAGACGGUUUUUCUUCUAGUUAUAGAUGAAGCCGCGCCGGAUUAUCUGGUUGGUGAGGUAACGGCUUACCAAGGCAACGAUGGGUAGCCGACCUGAGAGGGUGAUGGGCAACACUGGAACUGAGACACGGUCCAGACUCCUACGGGAGGCGGCAGUAGGGAAUCGUACGCAAAGGGCGAAAGCCUGACGGAGCAACGGCGCGUGAGUGAUGAAGGUCUUCGGAUCGUAAAACUAUGUUAUUAGGGAAGAACAAAUGUGUAAGUAACUAUGCACGUCUUGACGGUACCGAAUCAGAAAGCCACGGCUAACUACGUG